rnacentral:rRNA from 1 species
GGACCUCCGUCCCUGUGCCUCUGGUGCUUGGAUGGAACCCCUUAAGCAGGUGAAACUUCUUAGAGGAACUGGCGUUCAAAUAGACGCACGAGAAAGAGCAAUAACAGGUCUGUGAUGCCCUAAGAUGUCCGGGGCCGCACGCGUGCUACAAUGACGAUUGUACUGAGCAUGAUUUACUGGUCCGCAAGGAUUGGUGAAACUGUUCAAUCAUCGUCGUGACUGGGAUUGGGGUUUGUAAUUAUCCCCCAUGAACCAGGAAUUCCUAGUAAGCACAAGUCAUAAGCUUGUGCUGACUACGUCCCUGCCCUUUGUACACACCGCCCGUCGCUACUACCGAUUGAAUGGUUUAGCAAGGACAUUGGAUCGAGUCUUUGCGGUUCACGCUGCUUUGGCUUGAGAAGAUGUCCGAACUUGAUCAUUUAGAGGAAGUAAAAGUCGUAACAAGGUUUCCGUAGGUGAACCUGCGGAAGGAUCAUUACCGAAGUUCCAACACUAGCACGCGUGGCGCUGCUGUCUCUCUGCACGAUGCAAACUAGCCGUUAUUGGCUGUUUGGUCUGUGGGGCGCGCAGUGCUGCAGUGUCAAGUGCGGUGCAUCACUCGGGGGAAUACGCCCUCGCAGAUGCCCAACCAUGAUACAGAAAUGGGCUUUGUGGUCCAGGCUGGUAACACUUCUUACUGCCUGGCGCUCGCAUCGUUCAUCAGCCGGCCCGCUAGGACGGCUCGUUUGGUCUGCCACAGCUUGGUGACGUGUUGUGGUCUGACUGGCGAGUCUUCUGUCAUUGCAUGCUCCUACGGGUUUGGUACGUUGCCACCUCCUCCCUUCGGGUGAGUCUCAUGUUUGUGCUUUUAUUUGGUACCCAAGACUGGACUGGUUGUCCCGUUGGAAGUAGUGUCAAGUCGAACCGUUCAGGCUCCUCUAAUGUGAGUUGAGCUGAGAUGGAUCCUUGGUGCGAAAACGAUGGCUCGGCUGGAAAGGUCGACAUUGACGGCUCCGGCCGGCUUGUCAAAUUACAA